UAAGGAAUAUUGGUCAAUGGACGCAAGUCUGAACCAGCCAUGCCGCGUGAAGGAUGAAGGUCCUCUGGAUUGUAAACUUCUUUUAUCUGGGACGAAAACGGGAUUUUUAUCUCAAUUGACGGUACCAGAGGAAUAAGCACCGGCUAACUCCGUGCCAGCAGCCGCGGUAAUACGGAGGGUGCGAGCGUUAUCCGGAUUUACUGGGUUUAAAGGGUGCGUAGGUGGGCUUAUAAGUCAGUGGUGAAAUCUCCGAGCUUAACUUGGAAACUGCCGUUGAUACUAUAGGUCUUGAAUUAUCUGGAGGUAAGCGGAAUAUGUCAUGUAGCGGUGAAAUGCUUAGAUAUGACAUAGAACACCAAUUGCGAAGGCAGCUUACUACAUAUAAAUUGACGCUGAGGCACGAAAGCGUGGGGAUCAAA
rnacentral:rRNA from 1 species